UGGGGAAUAUUGGACAAUGGGGGAAACCCUGAUCCAGCAAUGCCGCGUGGGUGAUGAAGGCCUUCGGGUUGUAAAGCCCUUUCGGCGGGGACGAUGAUGACGGUACCCGCAGAAGAAGCCCCGGCUAACUUCGUGCCAGCAGCCGCGGUAAUACGAAGGGGGCUAGCGUUGUUCGGAAUUACUGGGCGUAAAGGGCGCGUAGGCGGCUCUGUGCGUCGUGCGUGAAAGGCCUGGGCUCAACCCAGGAAUGGCGCUCGAUACGACGGAGCUAGAGUGCAGGAGAGGAUGGUGGAAUUCCCAGUGUAGAGGUGAAAUUCGUAGAUAUUGGGAAGAACACCGGUGGCGAAGGCGGCCAUCUGGACUGCAACUGACGCUGAGGCGCGAAAGCGUGGGGAGCAAACAGG
rnacentral:rRNA from 1 species